AGCAGUAGCAGCAGUGAAGGAGGAAUGACAACAGUUUAUUUAUUUUGUCUGGUUGACUGGUUCUUAUGGGCAACAUUAUCCUAUCUGUUCCUCUCUCUCUGUGUGAUGGAAAACAAGUGUUUAAUCCUAACUUGUUUAAAUUCCUUUGUCUUUUCUGUCUCUAAAUGCCGUCUUUUCCUAGCAGCACUGUAUGUAUAACUGUACCUGGCAAAUAACGGUGAUACGAAUUCUGAAAGAGACCCAUGGAACUCUUCUUAGCACCCUUCAAGGCACUCUUAUUAACGAGCCUUUAUUGCUGUACCAAUGUUCAACGGAACAGCGUUUACAAGUCUGACACGUUUCGGCAUAGCCUUCGUCAGGGAGUGAUGUUGUUAGUUUGUGUCUGUGCCCUAUUGGCCCCACAGGAAAACCACAGAACCAAGAGCUGCUUUCACCGUUUCCUCAGACAUGUGACAGGAAGCAGUCGUCUGUCCGUUUAUAUCCCACCGUAAACAGUUACCACUUGAAACACAACCAACAUGACUCUGACACGUUGAAGGCAAAACAUGGAGCACUCAAGACAUUGGAGGAGCUCCUCAAACAGAUGGGGGAAUAAAUGGGAGGUCCAACAUUUCGAGAUUGACAUGAAAAAUCAGACUGAUGGUCUCGGGGGUAGAAGCUAUUGGCCAGUCUGUUAGUUUUAGCCAUGAUGCUCCUGUACUGCCAACAUCUGACUGAUGGAAGCGGGAAGAACAGGCCGUGGCUCAGGAGGCUGAGGUCCCUGAUGAUCUUCUUGGUCUUUCUGCAACACCUGGUGUUGUAGGGUGUGCACUCAAUGGUAUGCACCACCAUCUGUAGUGUUUUGUGGUCAGCGGUGGUGGAGUUGCCAUACUGGGCUGUGAUGCAGCCCGACAGUAUGCUCUCGAUGGUGUUCCUGUAGAACAUGGUGAGAGCCCUCGGGGACAAGCAGCCUCCUGAGGUUGAAGAGUCGCUGUCAUGCCUUCUUUACCACGGUGUCUGUGUGUUGAGGUAAUGUUGCCUACCUUCACCACCUGGGGGAGGCCUGUCAGGAAGUACAGGACCCAGUUGCAUAGGGAGGAGUUCAGUCCCAGGGCUGUGAGCUUUGUGGUGAGCUUAGAGGACACUAUGAUAUUGAAGACUCAAAUUGCUGACCAAUCAGCCUGUUAUCAACCCUUAGUAAACUUUUGGAAAAAAUUGUGUUUGA